UAGUGUGUAAAUAUGUGGAGUGUUUAGAACCUAAAGCAACACUUGUAUUUGUAAAAUUCUUCUUUUGCAGGUUUAAGAUGAAUUAGUUCUGUUUUUAAAUAAUAGUGCUAAAAUCCAUUUGAAUCUUUCAUUCAAAGUCACAAAACGGAGGAACACUUUUUGCCAAACACAGAUCGCUGUGUGUUUUAGAAGCAGGAGUGAAAAGUGAAAUCAAAACUCCGGUGGAAGUUGACUGUGUCCCUCUUAAGACAGAGUCUCUAAGCGGCUAAUGGCUUUAAAUCCAAAAGCAAGCCAAAAAGUGUCUGUGUUAAUGUAAAUUACCUGAUAAAGAAGAAAAGAACUGCCCAAAAAUUGCAGCACAAAGAAGUCAAAUCAAAGGACAAGACAGGAGAUAGGUAGAUCAGAGGAAGGUAAGGGCACUAAUAGAAAUGCCGGCCCCUACCGAUGCCCACUCUUUAAGAAUACUGCUAGGAGGAUUUAAUUUUCUUAGACUACAUCUAUAAAUAUGCUAAAAUAACUCACCCAUUGUGGAAACUGACUUAAAAAAAA